CACAAGAAGACGAGAAGAGUUUUCACCAGCCCUCAGUCAAAAAAACGGUCAGUCUAAAAUAACCUCAGCGUGAGACAUCACACCUCUGUGAAGCGAGUAUAUCACGACAUAUGAUUGAAAUAUUUUUGAGCUGAGAUUGGUGAAAGAAAGCGGAAAGAAAAUGAAACACUUCUACGUGAUCAUCACAGCUCUGGCAGCAACAGCUCUGGCACAAGGCUCUAUUGAAUGUAAUUUCACUGAAGCUACUGGAACUCAGCAAUGUUAUGGAGCGGUGGGACAACUGUUGGUUUUUCACCUGCCAAACACUGCAGAUACAGAUCUCCAGUGUCAAAGCCAGCUGUUUCUCAGAUGUGUUCGUCAGAACAGAUCAACAUCGGCUGCUCCUCUGAGGGAGAUGGAGUGGAGUUCCGUCUGACUUUAGUUGACGAUCCUACUAAAAUCCUCAUUUUGACUGUUCUUCAACUUUGUCUAAACAAAACCAAUCAAAUAUAAAUUCUUGAAUUAAAACAUUCAGUUAUUAACUUUUAUUUGACAACAAGUUUGAAGAACAUAGGGUGCUGGUUUAGCUCAGUUAGCAGAGCAGGUGUCCCUAAAAACAAUAGUUAUAUUUAAUCACACAUUCAUCUUUUGCCUGCACUGGUAUGAGAUAUAUAAAAGUUGUUUUCCUAUCUUUGAAAUUGAACAUGUUUUUUUAUGUCUGUAAGUGGCUUUGAUUAUAACAAGAUAAGCAAUGACAGGGAUGACAAGUGUACAAUGAGUCUUCUUAAACGUACAAUAUGUAGAAUUGUAUGACAAUGUUGACACUAAAAUAUCUAAAUUUAUUUAAAAAUUGACUAAACCUGUGUUAAAUAUAUAUAUUUUUUGUUGGGUAUUUACAUUACCUCAAAUAUUUCCAACAGUUAUCCAAGCCAGAGAAAUCUGUAAUUUUAUAGUUGUAACGUGACGUGUUUUGUCGAGGCGGCCACCAUGAUGAGCCGCCAUGAGAAUGUUUAUCGUUACCGUGGAAACACUGGAUGUUACGUCAAAGCCCGCUACAUGAGGAAGCAGGUAUUCCUACUGAAAGCCGUCGUACUGUUGCUGUAUUUGCUGUUUUGAUAAAAACGUCAUGUAUUGGGGGGUAAAAGAUGUAAGAUAAAUCUCCCAUGAUUUCCCGCCAGCCUCAACGUCAUCUUUUGUUAUUGUAGUAUUGAUUGAGAGCUCCCUGGCGGCUGAAUCUACAUAUUGUAUUUUUAAGAAUCAUGUAUUAUUGGUCAUUUUAGACAUGGACACUUUCUUCUGGUGUCCCCUUACUAGGAUUUUGAUUGUUCAGAUUUAUUUUAUCGCAACAUUUAGUCUAGUGACAGGUAUGCCGCAUCCCUUUAUUGGCCAACGUCUGUUUUCAUGAGAUUACUUAUCACUUAUAUAACCAACUCACCCGUUUACAGCGUCAACAAGGCCUUGUCGCUUCAGCUUCAGGAAGAAAAAGUCCCUCUUUGAGCAGAAGGAGUAGGAGGAACUGAGGAAGAAAGAGGGAGAUGAUGAGGAAGGUUUAACAGAGUGCAAUGGGUGAGGACUCUGGGUGCGUGGUUUUCUGUAUCAACUACUCACUCUCACAUCAUUAAAUACUCCUCAGCGUACACUGUAGUGCAGUGGUUCUCAAACUAUGGUACGCAUACCACCGGUGGUACGCAAAGAAAUCUCCACAAUAUAAAAAAAACCCCGUUCAGCAUAAAACGCCAUUUUUUUAUUUUAUUGUCAUACUCUUAUCUGUCUUGUAUCUAUUUGGUUGUAUUUCAAAUGUGUUUUCCCUCUAAAUUAAUCUAGUUUUUGCAACAAACAACUUUAAUCUGCUCAAUUUAUGCUCAUGCACAGACAUAAACAACAGGAGUACGCCUCGCGUUUUGAAAAGUUCCACUUGAUAUUCCGUUUCUGUUAUUUAUUGAAGUUCAGCACACAAUCUGCAGCAAGCAGCUGUACAUUAACAUUUUUUAAACGGAGCCAGGAGAAGCUUCAGUUUUGAUGCAUGUACGGACAGCGGACCUUAUCACUGCCCCUCCCUCUAUCUCUAUCUCUCUCUCUCUAGCUCUGAAGAUGAUGUGAUUCUGCUCUGUUUUGAGGUCUUAACUCUCCGUAGGAGUCGAGAGGGAUUUUUUUUAAAAAGGCAGUUUUGCUAUGUUGAACGCAGAGACUUAUAAUAAAGCGACGUUGUUUGCACCGAGCCUGCGGAGUGCGCGCCUGCACUCUCACGCGCUCUCUCUCUCUCAGGCACGCAGCAAUUUUAUGAAUAAAUGAAAAAUUAAAUGAGAACAGGUCGGAAAUAUACUUGGGCCCAGGUAUCGUGUUUGUGUGGGAAACACUGGAGACUAAAUAUUUCUAAACAGGUUGUUGGUAUAAAGUUGUCAUUUUUAAUGUUCUGCACUUUUGUGUGUGCAAGUUCUAGCACUAGCCCUUAGUAGUCCUACAGUGUGGCUGCCAGCAGUCAAUAAUAAAUAAUAUUCUUUUUAUGAA